rnacentral:misc_RNA from 1 species
CGCACAUUGCACCCCUUGGUAUUCCGGGGGGUAUGCCUGUUCGAGCGUCAUUAUAACCCCUCCAGCCUAGCUGGGUCUUGGGUUCCGCUGCUCAGCGGGCCUUAAAACUAGUGGCGGUGCUCUGGGGCUCUACGCGUAGUAAAUAUUCUUGCGAGAGGGCCUGGGAGACGCUGGCUAGCAACCCCAAUUUUUCAAGGUUGACCUCGGAUCAGGUAGGGAUACCCGCUGAACUUAA